UGAGGAAUAUUGGUCAAUAGGCGAGAGCCUGAACCAGCCAAGUAGCGUGCAGGAUGACGGCCCUAUGGGUUGUAAACUGCUUUUAUGUGGGGAUAAAGUGCGUGACGUGUCAUGCAUUGCAGGUACCACAUGAAUAAGGACCGGCUAAUUCCGUGCCAGCAGCCGCGGUAAUACGGAAGGUCCGGGCGUUAUCCGGAUUUAUUGGGUUUAAAGGGAGCGUAGGCUGUCUAUUAAGCGUGUUGUGAAAUAUACCGGCUCAACCGGUGGCUUGCAGCGCGAACUGGUCGACUUGAGUAUGCAGGAAGUAGGCGGAAUUCAUGGUGUAGCGGUGAAAUGCUUAGAUAUCAUGACGAACUCCGAUUGCGCAGGCAGCUUACUGUAGCAUAACUGACGCUGAUGCUCGAAAGUGCGGGUAUCAAACAGG
rnacentral:rRNA from 1 species